UACGUAGGGCGCGAGCGUUGUCCGGAAUUAUUGGGCGUAAAGAGCUCGUAGGCGGCUUGUCGCGUCGGAUGUGAAAGCCCGGGGCUUAACCCUGGGUCUGCAUUCGAUACGGGCAGGCUAGAGUUCGGUAGGGGAGAUCGGAAUUCCUGGUGUAGCGGUGAAAUGCGCAGAUAUCAGGAGGAACACCGGUGGCGAAGGCGGAUCUCUGGGCCGAUACUGACGCUGAGGAGCGAAAGCGUGGGGAGCGAACAGG
rnacentral:rRNA from 1 species